rnacentral:rRNA from 1 species
GAUCAUGGCUCAGGAUGAACGCUGGCGGCGUGCUUAAUACAUGCAAGUCGAACGAAGCACCUUGGACAGAAUCCUUCGGGAGGAAGACCAUUGUGACUGAGUGGCGGACGGGUGAGUAACGCGUGGGUAACCUGCCUUGUACAGGGGGACAACAGUUGGAAACGACUGCUAAUACCGCAUAAGCGCACAGUACCGCAUGGUACGGUGUGAAAAACUCCGGUGGUACAAGACGGACCCGCGUCUGAUUAG